rnacentral:lncRNA from 1 species
GUUGAAUCAUGCUGAAAAUUAAGUAUCCGUAAAAAAUGUACUUUUGCAUUUGCUUACUUUUGUAUGAGAUGAAUGGGCAUACUACUACAUACCAUAUAUCAAGCACACAUGUCAUACUUAGAACAUUGUAUUUUCCUAACGAUAUAUAGGAAGUACUCAUCAUUCUCAAAAAGGAAUUAUCACUUUCCAAUAUAAAAUUAACUAAUCUAAGUGUUAGCAAUGCAACAGUCCUGACCAGUCAAUUAGCAAGCAAUAUAGCUAAGUCUACUCUUUUAUAAAAUUUCAAAUGUUACUUCCCAAAGCUUUGCUCUUUAGUGCGGAAUGGUAAGAUUGGGAAAAAGAAAUUGAAGUCGUCUAAUUGCAUCUGGGUUACGAUGCUUGUGAUUUGUUUGAAUCCCAUUUUGAACACUUUCUCGCAAGUUCCUUCCCAAAAAUCCUUGCAAAAGUGGAGCUUCUAACUUUUUGACGGCUUCCAGUAAAAAGAUUUUUGCAUUAUCUUUAUUGUUACUGAUAUGUUCCAUCACGGUUUCAACAGUAACAGGCUCCUCAUUCAUGCGCCAGCAAUCAUAAUCCUAUUUUUUGUUAAAAUUCCUUCCUAAUAAUAAGUUCAAAGUACUUGUCUAAAAAGCAUGGCUUUGAUUUGAGAGGUACAUUGAAUGUUAAAAACUUACUGUAGCCAUGCAAACCAUUUGGUAGGCAAUCUCAGCUUCGCGAGCUAGUUUGGCUUCGGGAAUGACUGACAUGUUGAUAAUACUGGCUCCCCAGCUUCUGUAUAAAUUGCUUUCUGCACGCGUACUAAAUGCAGGACCCUCCAUACACACGACAGUAAGAUCAUCUCCUUUGCGUUUGGUAUGUAAUUUAGAACCAUUUUUUAAGUUGGAGCCGCAUGAACUUAAAAUUUCAUACAAGUCUUGAUCAAAUGGAUCACCAAACGAAACAUGAGCUACACAACCAGAUUCAAAAAAAGUGUUUGGACGAGCACAAAGGGUGCGAUCAAUAAUCUGUGUAGGCAGAACAAAAUCCUCCGGUGGAAUAUCCUCCCUCAAAGAUCCAACAGCGCUGAACGAAACAAUUGCCAAAACACCUAAACUUUUUAAAGCUGCGAUAUUUGCUCGAGAUGGAACUUCUGUAGGUGUAUAAAUGUGACCGACACCAUGUCUAGCCAAAAAUGCAAUCAAAAAACCAGAGGUUGUGCGGGCAAUGGAAAUUGGAGAAGCUGGAUAACCCCAUGGCUGAAUAAAACGUUAGCAAAUCCCAACUUCCAGUUAAUCUUCAUCAUACCGUAAUAGGAUUGACACUUUCGACAAUAUCAAAUCCUGGGAGGUCAUAAAAACCGCUACCUCCAAUUACUCCAAGAAGAAUUGGCUCAGCUUGUUUGUUCAUACUUUUUUCAAUGAGGGAAUGGAUAAAGUGCUGAAAAUGGGUAGCAAAACUACACCUUUAGGGCAGAUGAAAAUUUUUGCGAGUUGUCAAUGUCAAGGAAUAAAAGAUUUUCAAGAUAUUUAAAAGAAAGUUAUUUGUUAUUUAUACAUUUUAAUUAUUUUUUUUUUUUUUUUUUUUUGUUGUAAAAAAAAUUAUUAUUUAUUUAGCUAGUCAUUACAAAAUAACGAUUCUUUUUUUGAUG